rnacentral:tRNA from 1 species
GGUUUUGUACUUUAUAGUUAGAAGAUUUGGUUUGCAACUAAAAAGAAGAUUUGUUAUAUGUCUCUAAACCA